rnacentral:rRNA from 1 species
UACAGAGGGGCAAGCGUUGUUCGGAAUUACUGGCGUAAGGGCGCGUAGGCGGCCUUCUAAGUCGAACGUGAAAUCCCCGGGCUCAACCCGGGAACUGCGUCCGAUACUGGAAGGCUUGAAUCCGGGAGAGGGAUGUGGAAUUCCAGGUGUAGCGGUGAAAUGCGGUAGAUAUCUGGAGGAACACCGGUGGCGAAGGCGACAUCCUGGACCGGUAUUGACGCUGAGGCGCGAAAGCCAGGGAGCAACGG